CGGGAGCGUCUACCUUCCCGUGCAGGUCUAUAGCACCUGCCAACUGUCCCACAAGGCAGCCAUGAUCUCCACUUUGGUGAUUGUUCUCAUUAUUCUCCUCAUCCUGAUCCGGUACAUCAUUGACAAAUUGAAAAGUGCCUCCCAUCCACACUCAAUGCAGCGUAUCGAACUGUAUUCAAGCGGAUUCAAAGAAAGAGAAGGUGGACAAUCUUGCUCCUUAUCUUCCCACAGGACAGAUGUCUCAAACGAGGAAACAGUCCAUUGAAUCUCCCAGAAACAGGCCUCAAGGCAAGUAGAUAUCUUCUUGAUAAAUUUACCGUAAGACUUUUGAUUUUCGAAUCCCCCUUGCAAUUGAGGACAACCUACCAUUUACCUAUGAAA